GCUGCCCUGUGAAGAAGGUGCCUGCUUCUCUUUUGCCUUCUACCAUGAUUGUAAGUUUCCUGAGGCCUCCCUAGCAAUGCAGAACUGUGCUAUCGUUGCUGCUAGUUAUUCAAUCAACCUAAAAGCAGCCCCACUGAAACAAAGCCAGAGGACUGGAAAUGCAGCUCUUAAAGAGUGUUGCCAUCUUGUUGUGAUGUAUUAUUCCUUCUGCAAGCUGCCUCUGAGGUUCCAUGUCAAUGAGGUUUAUCUCCACGGACAUGUGGGAUGAGAGACGAAGCAUACAAAGUGGUGUGUGCCAAAACUUACUUAUGGUCAUCAGUUCUUAGAAAAUAAGGUAAGGCCAAGCACGGUGGCUUACAUCUGUAAUCCCAGCACUUUGGGAAGCUGAGGCACACGAAUCACUUGACUCAGGAGUUCAAGACAAGCCUGGGAAACCUGGUGAAACCGUUUCUAACAAAAAUGCAAAAAAUUAGCUGGGCAUGAUGGUGUGUGCCUAUGGUCCCAGCUACUCAGGAGGCUGAGGCAAGAGGAUCACUUGAGCCCAAGAAGCAGAGGUUGCAGUGACCUGAGAUCAUGCAACAGCACUCCAGCCUGGCUGACAGAGACCCCAUCUC
rnacentral:lncRNA from 1 species